rnacentral:rRNA from 1 species
GACGAACGCUGGCGGCGUGCUUAACACAUGCAAGUCGAACGGAAAGGCCCUGCUUUUGUGGGGUGCUCGAGUGGCGAACGGGUGAGUAACACGUGAGUAACCUGCCCUUGACUUUGGGAUAACUUCAGGAAACUGGGGCUAAUACCGUAUAUGAGCUCCUGCUGCAUGGUGGGGGUUGGAAAGUUUCGGCGGUUGGUGAUGGACUCGCGGCUUAUCAGCUUUUUGGUGGGGUAGUGGCUUACCAAGGCUUUGACGGGUAGCCGGCCUGAGAGGGUGACCGGCCACAUUGGGACUGAGAUACGGCCCAGAAUCCUACGGGAGGCAGCAGUGGGGAAUAUUGCACAAUGGGCGGAAGCAUGAUGCAGAAACGCCGCGUGCGGGAUGACGGCCUUCGGGUUGUAAACCGAUUGCGCCUGUGACGAAGCGUGAGUGACGGUAAUGGGUAAAGAAGCACCGGCUAACUACGUG